AGAGUUUGAUCCUGGCUCAGGAUGAACGUUGGCGGCGUGCCUGAGAUAUGCAAGUCGAACGUCUCCAUCUUUUGGUGGAGUAGUGGCAGACGGCUGAGUAACACGUAGGAAUCUACCUCUAUCUCGAGAAUAGCUAAGCGAAAGGUUAGGUAAUACUCGAUAAUUUCUGGCUUGCCGGAGUAAAGAAGGUAACUCUUCGGAUAGAGACGAGCCUGCGGCCUAUCAUGGUAGUUGGUAGGAUAAUAGCCUACCAAGCCGAUAACGGGUAGCUGGCCUGAGAGGGUGGUCAGCCAGAGGGAGACUGAGACACGGCUCCCACUCCUACGGGAGGCAGCAAUCAGGAAUCGUCGGCAAUGGGCGAAAGCCUGACCGCGCGACGCCGCGUGCGGGAAGAAGCUCGAAAGAGUGUAAACCGCUGUAAUAGGGGAGGAAAUCCCGAUUGUCUCGGGAUUGACAGUACCCUAUUAGAAAGGGGCCGCUAACUGCGUGCCAGAAGCGUCGGUAAGACGUGGGCCCCAAACGUUAUCCGGUUUCACUGGGUGUAAAAGGUCGCGUAGGUGUCCUUUUUAGUCCUUGUUCAAAGGCUAAGGCUUAACCUCAGUAAGGGCAAGGAUACUAAAAGGAUUGAGUUAUCUUUAGAGGGAUUGGAACUCAAGGAGUAGUAGUGAAAUACGUUGAUACCUUGGGGAACACCAGUGGCGAAGGCGAAUCUCUGAAAGAUAACUGACACUGAGGCACGAAAGCUAGGGGAGCGAAGCAGAUUAGAGACCUGCGUAGUCCUAGCCGUAAACGCAUGCCUGCUAGCUGCAUUUUUUCUCCGUCUUUGGCGGAAAAAAGGUGUGGCGAAGGUAACCCGUUAAGCAGGCUACCUGGGGAGUACGACCGCAAGGUUAAAACUCAAAGGAAUUGGCGGGGAGGCACACAACUAGUGGAACAUGUGGUUCAAUUCGAUACAAACCGAAGAACCUCACCAGGGCUUGACAUCCUGACGUUCUAUUCCAUAGAAAUAUGGAAAAUGCGUAAGCAGGUCAGGACAGGUGCUGCAUGGCUGUCGUCAGCUCGUUCCGUGAGGAGUGCCCUUAAGUGGGACAACGAGCGCAACCCUCAUCCCGAGUUAUAGGUGUCUCGGGAAACGGUCCCGACUUAGUCGGGAAGGAAGGUGAGGCAGACGUCAAGUCAGCAUGGCCCUUAUGCCCUGGGCUACACACAUGUUACAAUGGGAUGGACAACGGGCCUUGCCAAGUGGUAACACUUUAGCAAAUCCCUUAAAUCAUCUCUCAGUUGGGAUUGAGGUCUGAAACUCGACCUCAUGAACGCGGAAUUAGUAGUAAUCGCGGAUCAGUCAUGCCGCGGUGAAUACGUUCUUGCCUCUUGCACACACCGCCCGUCAAGCCAACAAAGUCGUUGAUAUUUGAAUCUCGACUUUGUCGGGAGAAAAUAUUGGCGGCGAUGGGGGUUAAGUCGUAACAAGGUAGCCGUUCUGGAAGGAGCGGCUG
rnacentral:rRNA from 1 species